GACGAACGCUGGCGGCGUGCUUAACACAUGCAAGUCGAACGAAGUGGCGAACGGGUGAGUAACGCGUAAUCAACCUGCCCUUCAGAGGGGGACACCAGUUGGAAACGACUGCUAAUACCGCAUACUGAAGGAGGGGAUUGCGUCUGAUUAGCUAGGUGGAGGGGUAACGGCCAACCAAGGCGAUGAUCAGUAGCCGGUCGGGGAGGAGGAACGGCAAGAUGGGGACUGAGACAGGGCCCAGACUGCUAGGGGAGGCAGAGGGGGGGAAGCUUCCGAAAUGGACGAAAGUCUGACGGAGCAAAGCCGCGGGAGGGAUGACGGCCUUCGGGUUGUAAAGCUCUGUUAAUCGGGACGCGGUACCGGAAGAGAAAGCCACGGCUAACUACGUGCCAGCAGCCGCGGUAAUUC
rnacentral:rRNA from 1 species